rnacentral:lncRNA from 1 species
GUGACUGUUUUUGGAAGAUUAUGGUUAAUUGAUUAGGGACUUUUGAUGUAGAUAAUUUGGAGUUAUGACAAGGGUAACCCUUGAUUUUGGAGAUACAAUGCAAAGGGAUGCUGUUCCUCCUGUAUCAGCAGAUGUGAUCUUCCCAUCUAGUCGCUUUCCAAAUUACAAAAUUGGACCUAACAAUCAGAUUAUGGAGGUCAAGCAGGAUUCUAAGGCACUUACAAUGAAAGAGGUGGUUGCUAGAGAAACUGCACACUUACUAGAGCAGCAAAAAAGGCUGUCUGUUCGCGAUCUAGCCAGUAAAUUUGAAAAGGGUCUGGCUGCUGCUGCCAAGUUGUCUGAUGAGGUAACACCUUAAUUAUGCUUUGGUAUUUCCACUACUCUUGAAUGGCUAGUUCCAUUGUCCUAACACAGAAGUUGCCUUAUCAGCCAAUUACCCCUGUGAUAAUCUAAAAUCAAUGAAGGGAUAAGUCAGGAACAUGGAAUAGGGGAAAUCUUAGUAAUUCAGUUGGUUGGCUACCAAUCCCCCACCUUGUAAUCCCCUCCCCCUCCCCCUACCCCCCAUUCAUUUAAAAAAAGAAAAGGAACCUUUGAUCUUUUGGUCAAUAAUUUUCAUGGAUUCUGUUGUUUUAGCCAUGGAUUGCUCUAACGUUGAUAUCUUUAGGCUGUUAGUUUCUAGUUUUAGGUAUAAAGUUUUGAUUUUUACUCUUUAAAUUUGGAUUAAUUUGGUAAUGUAGGUUACUUUUCUGUUUGGUGGAUAGAGACCUCCAUGAUCUUUAGGUGAAAAAGUAUUUUUACUCUUUAAAUUUGGAUUUAUUUGGCAAUGUAGGUAAAUUUUCUGUUUGGUGGAUAGAGACAUCUAUGAUCUUUAGGUGAAAGAGUUAUGGUUGACAGUGCAGAUUUUUUUCUCUUUUUGUGUUGUUGUGUGAGUUUUAAGGUAGCUAUACCAUAUGUGACUGUUUUUGGAAGAUUAUGGUUAAUUGAUUAGGGACUUUUGAUGUAGAUAAUUUGGAGUUAUGACAAGGGUAACCCUUGAUUUUGGAGAUACAAUGCAAAGGGAUGCUGUUCCUCCUGUAUCAGCAGAUGUGAUCUUCCCAUCUAGUCGCUUUCCAAAUUACAAAAUUGGACCUAACAAUCAGAUUAUGGAGGUCAAGCAGGAUUCUAAGGCACUUACAAUGAAAGAGGUGGUUGCUAGAGAAACUGCACACUUACUAGAGCAGCAAAAAAGGCUGUCUGUUCGCGAUCUAGCCAGUAAAUUUGAAAAGGGUCUGGCUGCUGCUGCCAAGUUGUCUGAUGAGGUAACACCUUAAUUAUGCUUUGGUAUUUCCACUACUCUUGAAUGGCUAGUUCCAUUGUCCUAACACAGAAGUUGCCUUAUCAGCCAAUUACCCCUGUGAUAAUCUAAAAUCAAUGAAGGGAUAAGUCAGGAACAUGGAAUAGGGGAAAUCUUAGUAAUUCAGUUGGUUGGCUACCAAUCCCCCACCUUGUAAUCCCCUCCCCCUCCCCCUACCCCCCAUUUAUUUAAAAAAAGAAAAGGAACAUGGAGUAUCUUUCCUUUUUUGGCCAACUCCCGGCUUGUAAUGUUGAGUUUGUAUUAAAGAAGUGAAUUUUGUAUUUUUGAUACAUAGCCUCUACCUUUAAAGUGUUACAUCAUUUACUCCAUGCAAGACACCAUUCUUUCAAGGCGAAGAGGAUGAUUUUAUUGAACAACAGUAAAGGCUAUAGUGAUAAAAAUAUCUUAUAUGUGGGCUCCAGGCAAAAAUGAAAGAUGCAGCUUCACUGGAGAAGCAUGUGCUGUUAAAGAAGCUCAGAGAUGCUCUUGAAGCGUUGAGAGGACGUGUGGCGGGUAAAAACAAGGAUGACGUGGAGG